rnacentral:lncRNA from 1 species
CCGGCAACAGCGCCAAAAACUUGUUACGACUCCGGCAAGUGUACCAAAUCGUAUAAACUAAUAUAAGCGGUAAGACCGAGAAUCGUUUUUCCUAGAGACUCAUUGGCCUAGACAAUUGUUGGGGAAAAUCAGUAAGUGUACCGAGUCGCACAAGUAAUAUAAAAUGGUGAAACCAAGUAUCGUAUCCCAAAGGAACUCGGCG